GGGCCUUUACCUCGUAGGAAGACUAAUUGAUUUCACUAGUUACAAUACUUCUAUUGUUUUAUUUUUUAAACACAAAUAAACACUAUAGUGGAUUUGCUCUUCUUUCCCCUUUUCUACUUUUGCCAAAAGAGUCAAAGGUUAUUCAAUUAAAGGCAUCUAGAAAGUGUGACAAAGAAAUCUAUUGGUGGAAUAUAUCUACUGUUAAAGGGAAAGAAAAGAGAAGAAAGGAGGAAGACGAUAAAGGAUUGCAGGGAAGAGGGAAGGAAGCCUCUCAGGGACCAGCAGUAACUCUGAUGGAUGGCUGGUGUGGGUAAGACGUUAUUAUUUGUUAUGUGAGUGUAGGGAGAUGGCAGCCGAGCUGAGCAAUACACCUGCUGGGCUCCAAGAAGCCAAAACAGCUGCACACAUUGAUUUAGAAGCUUGCUACUUGGGGCUCCAGGAACGAAUCAAGCGACAGCUCAUAAAAAAAGAGGGUUUUAUGAUUUUCCCCCCUCUUUCUGUAAGCAAACGGCCACAUCAUAUGUUUUCCUAACACGGUCAUAACUCAAAAUUAAAUCCCAGCCCAAGGUGUCAGCCUGGUGCCAUGUCAGGAUUGUAACGGCUUGUUUUAGAGGUUGUCAUGGAGAUGAUGGAGAAAGGAUGGGGGGUAUGCUUUUGGAGGUGGGAAAGGGUACAAAGCACUCUUUGCUUCAGUGUGGCUUAGGCACUUAAGAACAAUUAGCGAUUAGCGUAGGGUUUUGUUUUAAAGAAGCGAGUUAACUAGCAGUGUUUAGUUGGUGAUUUUAUGCUACUUAAAAGCUCAAUUCAUAGUUGUUAAAAUGGAAAGCACUGUCCCACGAGGGAGCUACCCCAGCCAGAAGGAGUGAGUUGUGGUCCAUGUGCUGCCAAGGGAACCGGCACAGACACUAUGGAAAAUGGUAUGGAGACUCCUCAAGAAAUUAAAAAUGGAACUCCCACGUGAUCCAGGAAUAUACCCAUUUCUGGGUAUAUAUCCAGAAGAAAUGAAAAGAGGAUUCUAAGGAGUUAUCUGCAUUCCCAUGUUCACGGCAACUUUAUUACAACAGCCAAGAUAUGAAAACAGAUUGUGUCCAUCAAUGGAAGAUGUGUACUUAGGAGUGGAAUAGCUAUGUUGCAGGAUUCAUUGGGAGGAGCUAAGAUGGCGGAGGAGUAGGACGGGGAGGACACUUUCUCCCCUACAAAUUCAUCAAAAGAACAUUUAAACGCGGAGUAAAUUCCACAAAACAACUUCUGAAAGCCGGCAGAGGACAUCAGGCACCCAGAAAAGCAACCCAAGUCUUCAAAAGGAGGUAGGGAAAAAUAUAAAAGACAAAAAAAGGGACAAAAGAGGGAGGGACGGAGUUCCGUCCCGGGAAGGGAGUCUUAAAAAGAGAGAAGUUUCCAAACACCAGGAGACCUUCUCACUGCCGAAUCUGCACCGAGCCUUGGAAGCACAGAGGGCAACAUAACAGAGAGGAAAAAUAAAUAAUUAAAACCCGCACAUUGCAAGCCCUAUGGUAACUCCCCCAGCGGAGAAGCAGCGCAGACGCCUGCAUACGCCAUUAGCAAGCGGGGGCUGGGCAGGGAGGCGCGGCGCGGGCUGCAUCGCAAGAAUCUGGCCUGAAUACCCCGAGCACUAUCUAAGCGAAAUAAUUUGGGCUAGCAAACCAGACUGUGGGAUAUCUACCACGCGAAAAGCCAGCCCUAACCUAUGACACCGCCAGGCCCACGCACGGAAUAAAGGACUGAACGGAGAUAGCCGGCGGCAGACCAUCCCCCUCCGGUGAUAGGCAGCCAGAGCCGGAAGGGGACAAUUGCAGCCCCAGAGAGACAUUAUCUAUAAAACUGUAAGCAGGCUUCUUUGCUAACUAAAACUUCUUGGGGGUCUGGACGGUCAACAUCUGCCUGAGAAGGUGUGCUGGUACACAACUAGAUAACCAAGCGGCGGGGAGGCGAUAAGUCGCAGCAAUCGCGCACGCAAAACACCUCAUCACCUAAGCUGCUCGGAUCUGGGAAGGGCACAAAACGCAGGCCCAACUGAGAGUCUGCGCCUCUGAGGACUACCCGAGUGCCUGAACCUGAGCGGCUUGGACCUGGGAAGUACAGGCAGCCCAGGGCAGGCCACGGAUGGUUCGCAGCGGAGCAACCUAGAGCCUGAGCAGCGUGGGCAGAGAGGCUACACGCGCUGUGAACUGGGGGCAGACCCAGUGUGACUGAGGUACUGCGAGCACACGCCAGUGUUAUUUGUUUGCAGCAUCCCUCCCUACCUCCCCUCAGUGCGACUGAACAAGUGAGCCUAUAAAAAAAAAAAAAAAAAUUUAAGUCCUCUGUUAUUCCUUUAAUUUCCACUUUUAUAACCGAUUACUUUGCAAAAAAAAAAAGGAGACCCUAUUUUUUUUAAAGCAAACUUCAUAUAUAUUUUUUUAAAUAAUUUUUUGACCUUUUUUUUUUCUUUUUCCUUCUUUUCUUUAACAUUGUAUUUUUUAAAUUCCAAACUCUACUCUAGAUUUUUAAUUUUAGCUUUUUAGUAUUUGUUAUCAAUUUUGUACCUAUAGUUUUUUUUUUGUUUUUGUUUUUAUAUAAUUUCUGUGACCCUUUUUUAUUUUUUCUUUUUCUCUGUUUCUUUCUCUUCUUCUUUUAAAUAACAUUGUAUAUCUGAAAUUCCAAACUCUAUUCUACAUUUUUAAUUUAUGCUUUUUGGUAUUUGUUAUCAAUUUUGUACCUGUAUUUUUUUUUAUAUAUAUAAUUUAUGUGACCUUGUUUGUUCUUGAUUGUUUUUUUUUUUCUCUCUCUUUCUUUUUCUUCUUCUUUUUUUAACAUUGUAUUUUUGAAAUUCCAAACUCUACUCUAGAUUUUUAACUUUUGCUUUUUGGUAUUAGUUCUCAAUUUUGUACCUAUAUUUUCUUUAUAAUUUUUGCGACCUUGUUUGUUUUUGUUUGUUUGUUUUUUCUCUCUUUCUUUUCCUUCUUCUUUUCUUUAACAUUGUAUUUUUGAAAUUCCAAACUCUACUCUAUAUUUUAAAUUUUUGCUUUUAUGUAUUUGUUACCAAUUUUAUACCUUUAAGAACCCAAUCUUCAGUACCCAUUUUUCACUAGGGAGCGAGAUUACUGGCUUAACUGCUCUCUCUCCCUUUGGACUCUCCUUUUUCUCCACUACGUCGCCUGCGUCUCCUCCCUAACCCCUCUCUACUCUACCCAACUCUGUGAAUUUCUGUGUGUUCCAGAUGGUGGAGAACACUUAGGGAACUGAUUAAUGGCUGGAUCUGUCUCCCUCCUUUUCAUUCCCCCCAUUUAUCCUCCUGGCCACCUAUGCCACCUUCUUCCUUCUUCUCUUUUCUGUAUAACUCUGUGAACAACUCUGAGCGGUCCAGUUGUGGAGUGCACAUAAGGAAGAGAUUACUGAAUAGCCCACUCUCUCCUCUGUUGACUCCACCUCAUCUCAUUCGGGUCACCUCUAACUCCCUCCUCACUCUUCUCUUCUCCAUAUAACGCUGUAAACCUCUCUGGGUGAAACAAGUUUCAGGGCAAGACAUACCAAGCAAAUUCUCUAGCAGCAAGGAACACAGCCCUGAGCUCCAAGAUACAGGCAGCCCAAAGUCACCCCAAAACCAUAGACAUCCCAUAACUCAUUACUGGACAUUUCAUUGCACUCCAGAGAGAAGAAAUACAGCUCCACUCACCAGAACACCGACACAAGCUUCCCUAACCAAGAAACCUUGACAAGCCACCUGUACAAACCCACACACAGUGAGGAAACGCCACAAUAAAGAGAACUCCACAAACUGCCAGAAUACAGAAAGGACACCCCAAACUCAGCAAUUUAAACAAGAUGAAGAGACAGAGGAAUACCCAGCAGAUAAAGGAACAGGAUAAAAGCCCACCAAACCAAACUAAAGAGGAAGAGAUAGGGAAUCUACCUGAUAAAGAAUUCCGAAUAAUGAUAGUGAAAUUGAUCCAAAAUCUUGAAAUCAAAAUGGAAUCACAGAUAAAUAGCCUGGAGACUAAGAUCGAGAAGAUGCAAGAAAGGUUUAACAAGGACCUAGAAGAAAUAAAAGAGAGUCAAUAUAAAAUGAAUAAUGCAAUAAAUGAAAAUAAAAACACUCUGGAGGCAACAAAUAGUAGAAUAACAGAGGCAGAAGAUAGGAUUAGUGAAUUAGAAGAUAGAAUGGUAGAAAUAAAUGAAUCAGAGAGGAUAAAAG
ensembl:lncRNA